rnacentral:lncRNA from 1 species
UGGUGGCGUACACCUGUAGUCCCAGCUAUUCAAGAGGCUGAGGACUCACCCAUUUUUUGUUAAAGAAUAACUAGAUAAUCUAGCCUCUGAGGGGGUGACAGCUGGACUCAACUGAUGAGAAGAAGUGAACCAAGCAAAGACUUGAGGGAAGUCAACUCCAGGCACAGCAAAGGAUGAGUGCAAAGGCUAUGAGCUUGAUGCAAAAGACCACAGUGACCUUAGCAGAUGUGUGAAGACAGCAGAGCCACAAGACUGAAAGAACCGCGAUUACUGAAUCACAUCAUGAAAACCCACCCUCUGACAGAAACAACUGGUUUGUGAUGGACAUCUGUUUGCCUUAUCUCACAUAGGGGAGGAGGGGAAGAAUUUAAUCUUGGAUUAGCCCUUUGUGGUUUUGCAUACCCCCUUCUCUGAUCCUCCUUAGAGGUGAAUAAAGUAGUGGAAUGGUCCCCAUUUUACAGCUGUGUUAGGCAAAGUUCAGAGAAGUUAAUGGCUAGGGAGGGGGAGCACAGGCCACAGUCUAGCCAAAGCCAGCCUCAAAUAUAGAUCUCCUGAUUCCCAGAGCCUAUUACUUCUUCCACUGUGCUAUACCCUGAAUGCUGAAGAUUCCUCCUUAAACUGAACAUGUCAGCAGCUAAUCUUUGAGCUAUUAAAUAAAUUACAAAAAGAUGAUAUAAAAGGCAAUCCUUCCUUGAGACAACUGUACCAUCCCAUUUAUCUCUUCAUGCCCAGGACUUGGGCAAGAACUUGGUACCGAGAAGGGCCUUCAUAACUGUAUGUUAUGAUUUUUAAAAAAAGUCUUACCAAGAAACAAAAAUUCAAGUUUAUAUCACAUUGACAACUAAAGACCAGCAAAACAGAUGUCGUGUACUGCUUCCACAUGUAGACCAACCAGAAUAAGACUCCAAUUCCAUCAAAUGUAAUUUAUUUAAAUAACAAUUCAAUUGCAUGUUAAGUAAACCAGUUGUAGCAAUAUAA